rnacentral:miRNA from 1 species
AUUCCUUGUCUUUUCUGAAGA